AUCCUUUUCCGUUCAUAAGCAUGAUGACUGGGUGUUCAAACGUUUGUGUGCCAUGUGCCUUCCUAAAAACUUUUUACGCACUUGGCACAUUACCCAUCUGAUA
ensembl:snoRNA